GAUGAACGCUGGCGGCGUGCCUAAUACAUGCAAGUCGAACGCUGGAAAUCUAGCUUGCUCGAUUGAAGGAGUGGCGAACGGGUGAGUAAUACAUAAGCAACCUACCCACGAAGACUGGGAUAAUCUCUGGAAACGGGGACUAAUACCGGAUAGGUAUUCGGAAGGCAUCUUCUGAUUAUUAAAGGUUAAAAACACUGGUGGAUGGGGUUAUGGCGCAUUCGUUAGUUGGUGAGGUAACGGCCCACCAAUACGAUGAUGCGUAUCCGGCCUGGGAGUGUGACAGGCCAGAUUGGGACUGAGACACGGCCCAGAAUGCUACGGGAGGCAGCAGUAGGGAAUGUUCGGCAAUGGGGGAUACCCGGACCGAGCAACGCCGCGUGAGUGAUGCCUGCCUUCGGGUUGUAAAGCUCUGUGGUAAGGAAAGAACGGUAGAUAGAGAAUAUCGAAAUGACGGUACCUUACCAGAAAGCCACGGCUAACUACGUG
rnacentral:rRNA from 1 species